UACGAAGGGGGCUAGCGUUGUUCGGAAUUACUGGGCGUAAAGCGCGCGCAGGCGGCUAUCCAAGUCAGUGGUGAAAGCUUGGAGCUCAACUCCGGAAUUGCCAUUGAAACUGUUUAGCUUGAGUACGAGAGAGGUGAGUGGAAUUCCCAGUGUAGAGGUGAAAUUCGUAGAUAUUGGGAAGAACACCGGUGGCGAAGACGGCUCACUGGCUCGUAACUGACGCUCAAGCGCGA
rnacentral:rRNA from 1 species